rnacentral:rRNA from 1 species
AUUGAACGCUGGCGGCAGGCCUAACACAUGCAAGUCGAGCGGAUGAGGGAAGCUUGCUUCCCGAUUUAGCGGCGGACGGGUGAGUAAUGCCUAGGAAUCUGCCUAUUAGUGGGGGAUAACGUUCCGAAAGGAACGCUAAUACCGCAUACGUCCUACGGGAGAAAGUGGGGGAUCUUCGGACCUCACGCUAAUAGAUGAGCCUAGGUCGGAUUAGCUAGUUGGUGGGGUAACGGCUCACCAAGGCGACGAUCCGUAGCUGGUCUGAGAGGAUGAGCAGCCACACUGGAACUGAGACACGGUCCAGACGCCUACGGGAGGCAGCAGUGGGGAAUAUUGGCCAAUGGGCGAAAGCCUGAUCCAGCCAUGCCGCGUGUGUGAAGAAGGUCUUCGGAUAGUAAAGCACUUUAAGGUGGGAGGAAGGGUUGUAAGCUAAUAUCUUGCAGCUUUGACGUUACCAACAGAAUAAGCACCGGCUAACUCUGUGCCAGCCGCCGCCGUAACAC